AUAGCAUCGUCCCGAGACCUAGCUCCAUCAAUGUUGACACGGAGCUCUUCUCAGGGCGUCGGCUGCUGAGAGUGUGGUAGGUACCAAGUAGCCUUGUCUCGCUUGGAAGCGUUAACCAUUCCCUACCCAGGUUGUGGUGCUGGUGAUACUAUGUUUCAUUGCUGGCUAAGGUGGAGACCGUUCUUCUGACUGCCUUACAGAGAUCUGGUUUUCUCCGUGUAGACGGUCCUCUGUAGAGUGAGCAUUUAGCAACGGGUGAGCAUCUUGGUGGUCGUGCAGGAAUGAAGUUAGCGGUUCCAAAUGAUGAUGACCUGUCCUGCCCUGCCUCUGUGUCAUCUGAGAGCACUCGGAGUCUGCUGGCUCCUCCCCAGAUGCCUGCCCCGGCCCAGGCCACAGCCCAAAGCCAGGAACUAGGAAUUCAAGGAGGGCCUCCCACGCAGCUGCCUGCGCCAUCGCCACCGCACCCAGAGUCUGCAUUCCCAGGAGGCUGGGGCCGGGGCGGGGCAGGGGCUGAUCCAGGCUCCCCCGUGUGGGAUGCAGGGCUCUCAACCACGAGACCCAACACAGCCGUGAACCCCGGGAAGAUCCUUUGUGUGUACAUAGGUGUGUGUCACACACUCACACCUUCACACACACCACUCACAGACACUCACACACACACCACUCACACACACACCACUCACACACACACACCACACACACUCACACAUACACACUUACACAUUCACACAUACACACUUACACUCACACAUUCACACACAAUCACACCUUCACACACACCACUCACAGACACUCACACACACACCACUUACACACUCACACACAUACACACUUACACACUCACAUGCACUCACACUUACACACACUCACACAUACACACUCACACAUUCACACAUGCACACACUCACACAUUCUCACACGCACCCACACACUCAACACACACGCACACACACACAGUCACACACACUGAAACACUCACACACUCACAGACACACACUCACACACAUUCACACACAUUCUCACAUACACUCACACACAUAUUCACACACUCUCACACAUACAUGCACACACGCAUUCACAUACACACACACUCUCACACACUCAUUCACACAUUCUCACACACUCACACUCACUCUCACACGCACUCCCACAUACUCCCGCACUCAACACACACACACACUCACACACACAGUCACACACACUCACACACUGAAACACUCUCACACACACUCACACAUUCACACACAUGCACACACAUUCACACACACCACUCACACACUCACUCACACACACUGCAGUCUCCUCUUGAAGCUCAGAUUGUCCCAACUUUUUUUAAAGAUUUAUUUAUUUAUUUGAAAGGCAGAGUUACAGAGAGAGAGAGAGAGAGAGAGAGAGAGAGAGAGGUCUUCCAUCUGCUGGUUCACUCCCCACAUGGCUGCAGUGGCCAGGGCUGGGUCAGUCAGGAUCCAGGAGCUUCUUCCAGGUCCCGAGCACCCGGGCCAUCCUCUACUGCUUCCCCAGGCACACAGCAGAGAGCUGGAUUGGAAGAAGAGCAUCCAGGACUCGAACCAGCGCCCAGAUGGGAUGCUGACACCGCAGGCAGAGGCUUCACUUUCUGCGCCAUGCACUGCCCCUCACGCCUGUCAAAUAAAUAAAUAAAUGCAUCUUUGUUUUUAAAGAUAGCAAUUUUAAAAUAAAGCAGAAGGCGCAUCUCUUGUACGGCCUAGGGUUGGAAGGCACAGCCAUUGUUUGAAAAAGUCACAAAAGCCUGCCCAAUUUCAGACGCGUGGAGGGUAGCCAGGUCUCGUGGCAGGAAGAGCAAGGGGAAGGCUGCAGCCGACUGCAGGAAGAACAGCUGGCGCCCCAACAGGGACGCACAAAGCCGGCGCUCUGACCAGGACGCACACAGCCGGCGCCCCAACGGGGACGCACACAGCCGGCACCCCGACCAGGAU
ensembl:lncRNA